rnacentral:rRNA from 1 species
UACGUAGGGUGCAAGCGUUGUCCGGAAUUACUGGGCGUAAAGCGCGCGUAGGCGGCUUUGCAAGCCGGAUGUGAAAUCCCCGGGCUUAACCUGGGAACUGCAUUCGGGACUGCAUUGCUAGAGUAUGGGAGAGGGAAGUGGAAUUUCAGGUGUAGCGGUGAAAUGCGUAGAUAUCUGAAGGAACAUCAGUGGCGAAGGCGGCAUCCUGGACCGACAUUGACGCUGAUGAGCGAAAGCUAGGGGAGCAAACGGG